AUAAAUAAAAACCAAAACAGGACUGGGAGGUAGGGGAGGGUGGAGAAGAACACACUAAGGCUGAAGCUAACAAAGAAAAUAAAAGAUCAAAGAAGCACUGUUAAUACCUGCCUGACUUGGGACAUCUGAAAUCAAUCAAGGACUUUUAUCUAUCCAUGACUCUGAAACUCGGAAACAUAAAACUUUGCUGAGCAUUUGCCCAGAACAACAGAAGAGUUAAGUGAGAGCCGUUCACAGAAGCCCUCACAGUGACUAGCACAUGCUAAAGAAAACAGGAAGUAGGGGCCCCGGAGAAGUGGAGAGAUGUCUGAUUUUAAUCAG